AUUGAACGCUGGCGGCAGGCUUAACACAUGCAAGUCGAGCGAGCGGCGGACGGGUGAGUAAUGUCUGGGAAACUGCCUGAUGGAGGGGGAUAACUACUGGAAACGGUAGCUAAUACCGCAUACCAUCAGAUGUGCCCAGAUGGGAUUAGCUAGUAGGUGGGGUAAUGGCUCACCUAGGCGACGAUCCCUAGCUGGUCUGAGAGGAUGACAGGCAACACUGGAACGUAGACACGGUCCAGCAUCCAACGGGAGGCAGAGGUGGGGAAUAUUGCACAAUGGGAGCAAGCCUGAUGCAGCCAUGCCGCGUGUGUGAAGAAGGCCUUCGGGUUGUAAAGCACUUUCAGCGGGGAGGCGUUACUCGCAGAAGAAGCACCGGCUAACUCCGUGCCAGCAGCCGCGUUAAUAC
rnacentral:rRNA from 1 species